rnacentral:lncRNA from 1 species
GUGUCUUUCUAUUCUACUUGCUUCGUCUAUAUGAUAAUACCACCAUCCAGUACAGGUGUGUUGUAUUAUUUUAUUCAAUUUGUUCAUCCAUAUAUCUCAGAGGACACACAUAAGAUAAAUGUGUGUCUAUAUAGAUCGCCUUCAGCUUUUGUUAAAUGGAAUCAAAAUCAUAUUAUUAUAUACACCAGGUGUACAAAUUAAACCGUUUCUAAGAGGUACAACCUAAAUCAGGUGUACAAAUUAAACCGCGCUUUUAUGAGGUACAGCAUUAACCAUGUGUACAAAUUAAACCCAGCUUCUAUGGGGUACAACCUUAACCAUGUGUAAACAUUAAACCAAACUUCUAAGAGGUACAACCUUAACCAGGUGUAAAAAUGAAACCCAGAUUCUUAGAGGUACAACCUGAACCUUCUUAGAGGUACAACCUGAACCAGGUGUACAAAUUAAACCCAGUGUCUAAGAGGUACAACCUUAACCAAGUGUAAAAAUUAAACCCAGAUUCUUAGAGGUACAAUCUUAACCAGAUGUACAAAUUAAACCCAGCGUCUAAGAGGUUUUGUCUUUCUUUCAGUUUUCUCCGUUGGUUGCACUUUUGAGUGUCUAAUUCUUUUUAAUCUGUAUUUAAUUUAAAGUGUAUGCGACAUAUUUGUAUUAUCUGUAAACAGUUUCUAUUGUUGAAGUUGUGAAUAUGUAUACAUUGUAGCUGCAUGUACACUGAAAAACAUUAUAAGAGUUAACCGUCUCAAAUGAAUUAGCCAUGCGGCGACCAUGAUUGCCCCCGCAACAACAUUAUAGUAUAUCAAAAGUGUUAAUUUAAAAAUCUUCUUUUCAUCAAUCUCCUAAAUAAAAAUUUUCCUUACAGUUUUUAAGUGUCAAUUUUUGACAAAUAGCCAAUUGAAUCGACCAAAAAGGCCAUAUAUUUUUUUUAGAUUAUACCCC